GGGAAUGGCAGCUUUUUUGUGACCCCAGUUACCUUUGCGUUUCCCUCCCCAGUGCUGAAAUAUACAGGCCAAAUAAUUUCCUUAACGUUCCUGUUGGUUGUGGGAGCAUAUGGAAGAUGUUGCUAAUUUGGGAAGAAGAGGAAAAGCUUUCCAAGAAUGAGGAAAAGCUUUCCAAGAAGUAGGAAGAGCGUGCAGAGACGCCCGGACAAGAGGCUUCAUGCAAAGCUGGGGCGAUGAACCCCAAGAGGGCCAGCCUACUUGUCACCUGUGAAAUGAAUUCAAGCUUCUUCCCGAACAGAGAGGUUACAUUCUAAAUAGUCCUUUCUCAGAGCCCACACUUCAGCCAACCAAAUUUUCUCUCUGGCAAACGUGAAUAAAGCAAAACUGUCCAAAAACAACCAAAGAAGAUCCUUGUCUUCCAGGCGGAAAGACCAGGGAGGUCCUGCGUGCAGCCCCAGCUCAGCCCUGAAUCCCUCCUGCGCCUGGACAGCUCCGGAAUGGAGAACACUCACUGACCCUCCCCCAGCCCUCUCCGUCUUUCCUUAACCUCAGCCCACCUGAAAAAGCUGACAUGUUUCAAGGACUUUAAUCAUCUGAUUAAACAUGGAAAAGUGACAAAGAAAAGUCAGUUUUAUAAAGUCUAGGUUUUGAGCCCCUUGUAGCUCAUCCAGCAUGUGGCUUCCCAGCUACCAAGGGUGUUGUCUGGGCUCUCCACUGAGAAAGUUCAACUUUUAAAAUCUGCAAUAACCUUGUUGUAACCACCCUUCUUUUGGGGAGGAUCUUAGCAGCAAAGGUCACAAACUGAAAUAACGACAGGGACCAGGCAGGAGACAUAAAAUGGCCCAAGCUGUCACCAUCAGCCUCUCUAAGGAAAAGAAGACAGGGCCUCAGGGCACGCUGGGGCCCAUUCCUCAGCCCCAGCCUCUUCUCACCACAGGGACACACACGCCCAAGGCCUUCUAGUCUUUUCCAGAGAAGCCAGAAACAAUUUUUUUGUAUGAAAGUUUCCCAUUUUAAAAUGCCUCUAACCAAUUCAAACUGUCUUAAAAUGCUGUGGGAACCAAAUCCCACAUCUGUGCUGCUUGGGGUCUGCCUGCGAGGGGCUGGCGUAUUUUGUGGCUUAGCACAAGAGCCACUCAUGCAUCCCCACCCCAAGGGGAGGCACAACUUUCCUAGAGUGCAAAUUGUGCCAGCACCUUUCCACCAAAAUGCACCGCUGCAGCACCACCGCGCCUUCCCUCUGCCUCUCUUUUGAGAAAUGCUGAAGGCUUUUUCUGAAAUUGGCUAUUGAUCUGAUUGUCAUUCAGACUCACGUUUGCAUUAAUGCUCUCUUUAGUAACUUAAGAAUUUUCUCCUUCCUUCCUUCCUUCCUUCCUUGCUCCCUCCCUCCCUCCCUGCUUUUUCUCCUUUGGCUGGAGGCGCGGUUUCGCCAUGUUGGCCACGCUGCUCUCCAGCCCCUGACCCCGAGUGCUCUGCCUGCCUCCGCCUCCCGAGGUGCUGGGACUGCAGACGGAGUCUCGCUCACUCAGUGCUCGCUGUUGCCCAGGCUGGAGUGCGGUGGCGUGGUCUUGGCUCGCUGCAGCCUCCGCCUCCCAGCCGCCUGCCUGCCUUGGCCUCCCAGGGUGCUGGGAUUGCAGCCCCUGCCCGGCCGCCGCCCCGUCUGGGAGGUGGGGAGCGUCUCUGCUCGGCCGCCCCUCUGCCCGGCCGCCCCUCUGCCCGGCCGCCCCGUCUGGGAAGUGAGGAGCGCCUUGCCUGGCCACCCAUCGUCUGGGAAGUGAGGAGCGCCUCUGCCCGGCCGCCCCGUCUGGGAAGAAGUGAGGAGCGCCUCUGCCCGGCCGCCCCGUCUGGGAAGAAGUGAGGAGCGCCUUGGCCCGGCCGCCCCAUCUGGGAAGUGAGGAGCCCCUCGGCCUGGCCACCCCGUCUGGAAAGUGAGGAGCGCCUCUGCCCGGCCGCCCAUCGUCUGGGAAGUGAGGAGCGCCUCUGCCCGGCCGCCCCGUCUGGGAAGCGAGGAGCGCCUCUGCCCGGCCGCCCCGUCUGGGAAGUGAGGAGCGCCUCUGCCCGGCCGCCCCGUCUGGGAAGAAGUGAGGAGUGCCUCUGCCCGGCCGCCCUGUCCGGGAAGAAGUGAGGAGCGCCUCUGCCUGGCCGCCCUGUCUGGGAAGUGAGGAGCGCCUCUGCCCGGCCGCCCCAUCUGGGAUGUGGGGAGCGCCUCUGCCCGACUGCCCCGUCUGGGAGGUCUACCACGGAGGCCAGAAUCAAUGUGGGGGCUGGACGUGGUGGCUCACGCCUGUGGUCCCGGCACCCUGGGGGGCCGAGGUGGGUUGAUCACUUCAGGCUAGGAGUUCGACACCAGUCUGGCCAACAUGGCGAAACAUAUGAAAAAUACAACAGACAAACCAACCAACCCAGCGACAACAAAACAGGUCUACCCUGGAGUCAUACUCUAAUUUUUUCUAUUUUCCUCCCUUUCUGAUCCUUUAUCCCACUUUCUUUUUCUUCCUCUUCCUUCUCCUUCUUCUUUGUCAAAUAGAGGAUUGAGUUAUUAUCACUGA